AGCAUUGUGCAGUGGCAAUAUCGUAGCCAAUGAGGUAUAUCUGAGGUGUGAUUAUUGCUAAUUGGAAAAAAAAA
rnacentral:snRNA from 1 species